rnacentral:tRNA from 2 species
GCCCCGGUAGCUUAGUGGUAGAGCGGCUGCCUCGUAAGCAGCAGGUCGAGGGUUCGAAUCCCUCCCGGGGCU